ACUACACUAGGGGCUGGUUAACGCUCCUGUGUGCAACAGAACCUCAAACACACCAUAACACACCUUUGGAGAAUCCUUACAAGAAUGUCAAGUUAACAAUUAUCUCUCACCACACUACCUCAGCAAAAAACUAAGAAGAAAAAAAUAAAAUAUUCUUCAACCCUUUUCAGGGACAGAAAGCAUCACUUCAAAAGUCCAAGAAGGGGAGCAAAACUCCUGACCUGAGACAUGGAAGCAUAUAAAAAGCCUCUAAGUAAAAUGUAUCGCUACAGCUAGAGGGCAGUUUUGCCUUUCUUCCAUUCAAUUACUCAGUCUCUCAUGUUCCUAAAUGCCAGCCCAGAACCAUGGAACCUGAAGAAACACAAAACGCACUCCUCUGCAUCAGUGAAUUGAUUGUGUGGUGGGGAUAUAAGUCUGCAUGUGACUGACAGGUCCCCAACGUGGUGCCAAGUCAAUCUAAACUAGAGAGAAUUUCUGGUCAGGCCAAGCAGAGAUUUCCUGGAUGAAGUCUCCCAAAGAUUGAUUUCCUAUACAUUAAACAUCACUGGUUUUCCAAAACUGGUUUUCUUUCUUUUUUUUUUUUUUUUUAAAACCCUGUUGCCCAGGCUGGAGGGCAAGUGGUGCCAUCUCCAUUCACUGCAGCCUCGACCUCCCAGCUCCACUGAUCUCCCCACCUCAGCCUCCUGAGGAGCUGGGACUACAGGUGUGCAUGGCCACGACUGGCUAAUUUUUCUACUUUUUGUAGAGAUGGGGUUUUGCUGUGUUACUCAGGCUGGUGAUGCGAUCUGCCCACCUGGGCCUCGCAGAGUGCUGGGAUUACAGGUGUGAGCCACCACACCCAGCCUACUGGUUUCCUUUACACCCGUUCUUUUCCCCCAUCAGUCCUUAUGAGGGCACCUGAAACAAGGAACCGCCCCCCUGACUUGAGAGCUGCAAAGCCUUGAGAGAGAACUUAGUUAUUAAAACCCACCCCACACAAAAUGCUUCUAAACGCCUUGGCUGACUUAAUCCUCGCAAUGUGCUGAGGUUAAGUAUGAUUCUCCAUCUCCUGUGAACAGGAAAACUGAGGUUCAGAGGUUAACUGAUUUGCCCACGGUUCACUGCAUGGGAUAAAACUCGGCUGUCCCUGACAGGUCCCAAAGUCACGGCCUUCAGGCUCCCACAUCAUGCUGCCUCCCUCACCGGGGCUCCACACUCUCAGCCUGGAAAACAUGAAUUUUAAGAAAACCAUGACUUACGAAAAGCAGCCAGUCCCAGCUUUGGACCCAACAGGGCAUAAUUCCAUCUGCUUCCAUCACCACCAUCCGCCCUGGAAUUAGGCCGGAUAUUCCAGUUUGGGGGAUCAUUGAGGUUAUUCAUGGAGAUACACCUUGAAGUAAAGAAUAAAAACGUUAACUAGUUUUAUUCAAGAAAUGUUUUUCAGUUUUAACUAUGUGCUGCACAGCACUGAGGCCCUACGGGAUUCAAAGAAGGAAAAAACAAGACCAGGGUCGGGCAUGGUGGCACACACCUGUGGUCCCAGCUACUCGGGAGGCUGAGGCAGGAGAAUCGCUUGAACCCGGGAGGUGGAGGUUGCAGUGAGCCAAGGUCACACCACUGCACUCCAGCCUGGUGACAGAACGAGACUCCGUCUCAAAAA